AACGAACGCUGGCGGCGUGGCUAAGGCAUGCAAGUCGAACGAACAUAUUCCGAGGGUAACUGAGGAGUAUGUUAGUGGCGAACGGGUGAGGAAUACAUGGACAACGUACCCUGGACACGGGGAUAGCGGCGGGCCGCAAGGCUCUUUAGCGAAAGUGCCGGUAAUACCCGAUGAUCCCGCGGAAUCGCAUGGGUCUCGUCGGGCCGGAACGAAACGUCCCGUACCCGGGUACCGGUUACGGUAAGGUACGGUUUCCGGUUACUAGCCCGUACCCUUACUACGACGUACGUUUA
rnacentral:rRNA from 1 species